GACGAACGCUGGCGGCGUGCUUAACACAUGCAAGUCGAACGGUGAUCCAUCAGCUUGCUGGUGGUGAUCAGUGGCGAACGGGUGAGUAACACGUGAGUAACCUGCCCCUGACUCUGGAAUAACCCCGGGAAACCGGGGCUAAUACCGGAUAUGACAUCAUCCCGCAUGGGUGUGGUGUGGAAAGUUUUUUCGGUUGGGGAUGGGCUCGCGGCCUAUCAGCUUGUUGGUGAGGUAGUGGCUCACCAAGGCGACGACGGGUAGCCGGCCUGAGAGGGCGGCCGGCCACGCUGGGACUGAGACACUGCCCAGACUGCUACGGGAGGCAGCAGUGGGGAAUAUUGCACAAUGGGCGGAAGCCUGAUGCAGCGACGCCGCGUGAGGGAUGACGGCCUUCGGGUUGUAAACCUCUUUCAGCUCUGAAGAAGCGAAAGUGACGGUAGGAGCAGAAGAAGCACCGGCUAACUACGUGCCAGCCGCCGCAGUAAUAC
rnacentral:rRNA from 1 species